GUUAAAAAGCUCGUAGUCGGAUUUCGGGGCGGGGCGACCGGUCUGCCGAUGGGUAUGCACUGGUCGGCGCGUCCUUCCUUCCGGAGACCGUGCCUACUCUUAACUGAGCGGGGGCGGGAGACGGAUCGUUUACUUUGAAAAAAUCAGAGUGUUUCAAGCAGGCGUCUCGCCUUUGCAUGGAUUAGCAUGGGAUAAUGAAAUAGGACUUUGGUGCUAUUUUGUUGGUUUCGAACACCGAAGUAAUGAUUAACAGGGACAGUCAGGGGCACUCGUAUUCCGUCGAGAGAGGUGAAAUUCUCAGACCAAUGGAAGACGAACAACUGCGAAAGCAUUUGCCAGGGAUGUUUUCACUGAUCAAGAACGAAAGUUAGGGGAUCGAAGACGAUCAGAUACCGUCGUAGUCUUAACCAUAAACCAUGCCGACUAGGGAUCGGAGGAUGUUAGAUUUGACUCCUUCGGCACCUUACGGGAAACUAAAGUCUUUGGGUUCCGGGGGGAGUAUGGUCGCAAGGCUGAAACUUAAAGGAAUUGACGGAAGGGCACCACCAGGAGUGGAGCCUGCGGCUUAAUUUGACUCAACACGGGGAAACUUACCAGGUCCAGACAUUGUAAGGAUUGACAGAUUGAGAGCUCUUUCUUGAUUCGAUGGGUGGUGGUGCAUGGCCGUUCUUAGUUGGUGGAGUGAUUUGUCUGGUUAAUUCCGUUAACGAA
rnacentral:rRNA from 1 species